rnacentral:lncRNA from 1 species
AAGGCUUAUUGGUUACUCUAUAGUUAAACACAGUGGAACUCUCCCAAACACACAGCAGGUGUUCCAAGGAGGCCUUCUCGACACCCAACAGCUCUCAACUCCUACCUCCUCCCGUUCCCCCAAUCUCCCCCUCCCACAGCAACCCUAUCGCUGACUGAAGGCUGAGCGUCAUACCACUGACAUCAGUCUAUGUGAGUAUGAGCUCCUUAGUGUUUCAGUUGGAUCUUUUUCGCCAUACAUCCAAAUCCUCUCAGAACAAAACUCCAAAGUCACCACGUGUUUGUCUCCAAAUGGGGAGUCCGUGUGUUUCAAUAGACCCGCUUCCAGAGGGGGAUCUUUUCAAAAGUCUCCACCCUGGGGAUCCACCUCCCUUAGGGGGGAAGGACAUUGGUGUCGAGACAAACCAGAGGAUCAACUGCCUUGGAACUGUUGGACUAAAUAUAGUUUCUGUGACUGUACUUUCCAGUAUCGGAAGGAAAGAUGCCAGCGUUCUAAUCUUUACCCAUUGCAUCACAUGGGCAACACGUACCAUUGGAGAUCUCAAUGAAAGGAUAAAUAGAUAUAAAGUAGCGUAUACAUAUGUUUGAUUUUGUAUAUUUUUUUUCACCCCUUUUUCUCCGCAAUUGGUAGUUACAGUCUUGUCCCAUGACUGCAACUCCCGUACGGACUCGGGUCGAGAUCCGGGCAUCCUCCGAAACACAACCUAGCCAAGCCGCACUGCUUCUUUGACACAAUGUUCGCUUAACCUGGAAGUCAGCCGCACCAAUGUGUCGGAGGAAACACCGUACACCUGGCAACCGUGUCAGCGUACAUGCGCCCGGCCCACCACAGGAGUAGCUAGAGCGCAAUGGGACAAGGACAUCCCGACCGGCCAAACCCUCCCCUAACCCGGACGACGCUGGGACAAUUGUGUGCCGCCUCAUUGGUCUCCCGGUCACGGCCGGCUGUGACACAGCCUGGGAUCUAACCAAGAUCUGUAGUGACACAGCUAGCACUGUGAUGCAGUGCCUUAGACCGCUGCACCACUCAGGAGGCUACAAUAGCGUAAAAAUAAGCAUGAGCGAAUGUAAGUGUUGUUAAAGAACAAAUUCAGCAGUCAUAUUUACUAAACGGAUAAUGCAUACAUGAAUAAACCACCUCUUUGUGCUACCACUGGUGUUAACUGUCUCAUUCUAAUAUCACUCAUCACCAAUAUGAUCACAACCAAAGCAGUCUUCCACCAAGCACCAGUCUCCUUACCUGACCAGUGGCUGAGGGUUUCCUGCCACCCUGCACUCCAGUCUGAUGGGGUGUCCCUCUGCCACCUCCUGACUCUUCAGCUUCUGGGUGAAGUGUGGCAGCGACAGGUCUCCAUCUACACAUUGAGCUCCACUGUGCUGCUCCCCCAUCAACUGGGCUCCACUGUGCUGCUGCUCUCCCAUCAACUCAUUCACACUCAUUAGACCAGAGACAACUGGCACCCCGGUCACACUCAGUGGAGGGACACCCGUCACACCCGUUACGCCCAUCAUGCUUGCUGGCUGGGUACCCAGGCCUGGCUGGCCCUGCUGCGCCGCCACCUGUUGGGUGAAAGGCUGUGGAGGGACAGAGGCAAAGCCCCGGGGGGCCAGCCGGUGGCUCUUAGGAGACAGGUACCCGCUGUCGGGAGAGGAGGAGUCUUCCUCCCCCUGUUGCUCCAGCCGAGUGGAGCCUUUAAAGAUGGAGGACAGCUCCUCGAUGAAGGUGGCGGCGCGGCUGCAGAACUCCGUGGCUGAGGCAGCCCGUUCAUUCAGCUCCAAGCCCUCAUGGAUAAGCCGAGGCUUGUCCUGUUUAUAGACUGGGGUGAUGGUCUUGUGGCAGACAAACUUCUCAGGCGAGGCCGUGGCUUCGAAGGUGGCCUGUAUGGGCCUGCUGAGGUAUUCUGUGGUGUUGAAGGGGGCAAGGGAGGGGUGGUAGUGGAGAGCCGGCUCCUGGGUUUUGGGAAUAGGGGAGACAGGGUCCACCCAGUCUUCUGCGUCACUGAAGGCCUCCCAGGCCAGGUCCAGGCUGCGGUUGAUCUCGUCUUGGCUGAGAAAGGCAGUAAGGUCUGGAAAGUCCCCGUCACCAGCAUCCAGCUCCGCCAUAGAGUCCAGGUACAGAUCCCCAUCAGACGAAGCCUCCGAGAACACGCCCCCGUCUCCUUCUGGAACCCCACGCCCAUCCUUCAUAAGCAGAGAGGGGGGGAGGGACUGGUUCCAGCUCCCGUCCUGCAUCCUGUAACACACACACACAAACAUGACAUUCAGUUAACACUGUAGAUACAGAAAGACACUAAUGGUAAGCUAUUCACACAUCCACAGUACAUAAUAAUAAGUAAAUAAAAUGAACCCACACUCCCUCACAAACCAACAGUUGCUCAGUUGUGAUGACUCAGGCUAGCAUUCUUUC